GUCCUUGCUCGGGCAGCACGUGCACUAACACUGUUACAACACAGAGAUUAGCGUGGCCCCUGCCCGAGGAGGACACGCAAAUUUGUGAAGCCUUCCAUUUAUUU